rnacentral:ncRNA from 1 species
UACCUGGUUGAUCCUACCAGUAGUCAUAUGCUUGUCUCAAAGAUUAACCCAUGCAAGUCUAAGUACCAGCUAUAGAACAGUGAAACUGAAAAAGAUUCAUUAAAUCAGUUAUGGUUCAUUUGAUCGUACAGUUUACUUGGAUAACUGUGGUAAUUCUAGAGCUAUUCAUGCGAGAAGCGCCGACCUCGCGGGAGGCGUGCAUUUAUCAGACCAAAAACCGGCCGCGUCUUCGGGCGCGUUCGCCUUGGUGACUCUGGAUAACUUUGCGGAUCGCACGGUCUAGCACCGGCGACGGAUCAUUCAAGUGUCUGCCCUAUCAACUUUCGUCGGUACGGUAUUUGCCUACCGAGGUUCUUACGGGUGACGGGGAAUCAGGGUUCGAUUCCGGAGAGGGAGCCUGAGAAACGGCUACCACAUCCAAGGAAGGCAGCAGGCGCGCAAAUUACCCAUUCCCGACGCGGGGAGGUAGUGACGAAAAAUAACAAUGCAGGACUCGUUCGAGGCCCUGUAAUUGGAAUGAGUACACUUUAAAAGCUUUAACGAGUAUCCAUUGGAGGGCAAGUCUGGUGCCAGCAGCCGCGGUAAUUCCAGCUCCAAAAGUAUAUAUUUAAGUUGUUGCGGUUAAAAAGCUCGUAGUUGGAUUUUGGGCGCAGGCGGCCGGUCCGUCGCAAGGCGUGUACUGGACGUCCUGGCCUUCCCUCCGGUUCUCCGCCGGUGCUCUUGACUGAGUGUCGGCGGCGGCCGGAACGUUUACUUUGAAAAAAUUAGAGUGUUCAAAGCAGGCUCUCGAGCCUGGAUAAUGGUGCAUGGAAUAAUGGAAUAGGACCUCGGUUCUAUUUUGUUGGUUUUCGGAGCGCGAGGUAAUGAUUAAGAGGGACAGACGGGGGCAUUCGUACUGUGCCGUUAGAGGUGAAAUUCUUGGAUCG